AUGUAAAAUACCAAUGAAAAAUGGCUCAUUGACUUCACGUAACUCCAAACUAUUUGACCAGAGGCUAUAGUAUUAGUAUUAGUCCGUGGGAGACGUUCUCAAAGAAUCCAUAUAAUUACAUAUAAUUACAACCAUGUCAGUUUGUCCGAUGACUUGCGAGCGCCUGUAAAUGGGGACGGCUGUAAUUCCUAGUUGUUACUGUACUUGUUAUAUCCAUUGAAUCAAAGCUGCGAUUCCAAACAUUCACUACUUCAGUUCACAUCAUUGAGUUGUAUAAAGACAUGAAAUGAAGGACAUUUAGUCACAGUCCGAAGGUGCAGCCCUGCCUGUACGUUGGUGCGUCGUACCUUCAAGAUGUCAAUUGUCUCGAUCUGGUGAAUGUCGUCAUCCUUUGUGUUCGUGUCGAUCUUGAACAUGCGGUGGAUGAGGGGCAGUUUGCAGAGGGGCCCCAGGUUCAGCUCCUCAUAGCGCUUCUUGUCCUUCAGUCCAGCCAGGCACUGGCCCAGCUCAUACAAGGUGCAGAUGGAUGUGACUGCUGCAGUAGACUGACACAAGGAGAGGCAAUUCUUUGAUAGGUGACACACAUCCACUUAAAAACCAGUAUUAGGAAACGCAUGUGUGCCAACCUCUAUGAACAUGUUGAUCUCUCUCAUUAGGUAUUGAAGGUCUUUUAAAGAGGGGAUUUUCCAUCGUUUGAUCCCGUAUGCCUCCAGAGAGGGAAUCUGCAUCAGUCUGCACACCUCGCAUAUCACCUGGACGUAGCGAGGACGAUGAGGAAAUGAGACACAGUGCAUUAGUCUGUGUAGGAAACGUGAAGCUAUACGGGACAUUUUAGGAGCUGAAAGUUCCAAUGUGACCAGAACUGGUAAUCAGGUAACACAACAGCAAAGGCCAGAGAGGAAGGGACUGCUGUGCUAAACAAUACACAACUUCAUUGACAUUCAGGAGGAAAAUCUGAAGUUACUUAUAAAUAUGUGGCCCGGCGCAGAGACUUCCUUCCUUGAAGUUGCCAGGCAACCAAUAAAGACAUCUGAAUCUAGUCAUUUAUGAUUGUAGGAGCAGAAUGGAUCAACCGACUGACCUUUUCUUCGGUCACCAGCUCUCCCUGUGCAGCGAUGUCUCGAAUCACAUCUUGCGCCAGACUACUGACAGAAUCCUGAUCCAAGACUCUGUUCCUCCUGGUCCCACGCGCAUUCUCCUCCAUGGCCUCUGCGGCCCGCAUGUUGGCGCCGUGGACCUCUCUCAGCUGGGCGUGAUAAGCUUCUCGAAAGAAGUUGGGUGCAUCUCUUAUUUUGUUUUUCUUCUCUUUGGUCGAGGAGACGUUCGCCCCGAGCACUGGGAAGUUGGCGUCAGAGAGGAAGUUGGUCACGAUGGACUGUCCCAGCUUUUCUUCUUUAGCGUCUCUCUCAAGAUCCAGCGCCGCUGUGGAAGGACGGGUCAACGCAUACUUGGUUUUAGAAGUACGGAGGAGUAAAUGUGUGUUUUAAGGCAUGAAGGUAAUGGUGUCAUGGUUUGGCUACCUGCAGUUGGCUGGUUGGCGUUUGGUUUGUUCUUCACCUGGAACACAUAAAGAAAUAUGUGCUGGUUUACGUAGAGUAAGAAGGUAGACAGGGACAGACGGUUAAGAUAGACAAAGACAAGCUAUUAUAUAAGCCUGCAAGUUUUCUUUUUUAUUGAGUCCCAAUGAGAUUAGACAUAGGAUUGUAGUAUUUUGAAGGCCAAAAGAGAGUAUUUUCAUCUAGUCCCGUUUACGUAGUACCUGCCAAAUGUGUUUUAAUCCACAACUGAAGGAAAAGCUAAAAAAGACACAACAGCGAGGAAUGUUUCCAAAAGCAUUUGACAGCUUCUGUCGGACAUAAAAAUAAGGGUUUUUUGCUAACAAGCUAGCGGCAGCCCAAUUAGCAUUGUUGAUUCUUAAUGUUUCAACUUUUUAAUUCAGGAUUUAGCAGAACAUUGGGAUGAAAGACGGAGCGUCUGGCUCGUACCUACCUGCCGGCAAUCAAUGUGCUCUGUUAUACAUUAGAAACCAAAGAGACAUCAGAAUACCGCUGUGGUGCAUUUGUCUUCAGAACUGACCAACGUCUCUGCUGGCGUGGACGCAGCGGCCGGCGGGUGGACGGGGAGACAGUGGGCGGCGGGAGGCACAUGAUGAGCGCUCGCGUCCCGUUCAGGCGCCGAGCAGCUCGGGCCAGCACGACCCGUCCUACCGCGCGCCCUCCUCCUCCUCGGCGGAGUUGCGGGCCCGUUGUCCUCGGUGGCUGUUCCCGGCGUCCCAGCUGCCGGCUGAUUGUGAGGCUGGUGGAUCUUAUGGAACACCACGUCCUCCCUCACCACUAGAUGUUCACUCAAAGAUUCCACCAGGCAGGAAAUCGUUUUGAAGCCCAAGGAAGAUAAAGUCAGGUUCCUGCGGUAUGUCUGGUUGUAGAACACAGCUAACUUUUUGAGGGGGAUCCCAGCUGGGUUCUCCUUCAGCAGGGCCAGCACAUCCUCCAGGACCUGCUCCAUUUCAACUGACGCCAGACGGAGAAAAGACACACAGGUAUUGAACAGAGAAUGACCCUUACUGGUAGAGAGAGGAAGGAAGAGGCAGGCAAUGCUAACCAAGACCAAGCAGCGGACCCCCCACAGAGGCACAGCCAACCAGUGGUUUGUCUAUGAUCACAGACACAUUCACAACACAUGCACAGGCUCACGGAUGAAGUGAGACAGGGAUCAGGUCUUACCUAUUCGCUCAAAGGACUCGGCUGUGGAUCAUCUCCACAGAAGUGGAACCGCUUGUUUAGACCGGCACCCUUCCUCCUUCGGCUUUUAAAGCGCCUCCUGCUCCUCCUCCUCCUCGCCUGCUGGGUUUCAUUGUCAGACACAGAAAAACGAAAGCGAAAGUAACCCUUCAGUGUUCCUGGAAAUGGUUAUGCCACACCUCAGACAGACAGAGGACAACAAGCUGCAUAACACCUUUAACCACGUCUAACUUAACUAAUUCAUUUAGGUCUGUUUGUUAAAGCUUAAUGUUGGGGCAUUGACCAUAUGACGGCAAAUUGAGUCAUAAAAGCGCCUCACUAUCAUCCUGCUCGGUUUGCUGUUACAUAAAUAAACAGGGAUUCAAUGGAUGAUCCAAAGUCACGCGUUGGCCCGUCUGGCUGCUUCCUGCCUGCAGACGAGGCACGAUGGCGUGUGUAUAUAUUUAUAUAUAUAUGUGUGUGACAACAGUCGGACUCGUGUGGACGUUGUGUGGGUGAUUCAAGGAGGAAGUUGUGAGUCGCUCCUCCGGGCCGUGUUCACGUACCGUGAGCUUCAGUCCACCUCCUCCCUCCUCUGCGCCGCCGACCAGAGGCCAAGGAAAGGAGACGAGGAGGACAAAGCACGCCGAUCAACAA
ensembl:lncRNA